ACGACCUUACUUGAACAGGAUCUGUUCUAUAGGAUCGUACCGUUGCAUCCUUUACCAAUAAGGAGGCAAGCACUUACGUCUGGUUGAUGCAUUCUGACCUCUGGGCCAGAGCGUGAUUAACGGCCAGGGUUCUUCUGAUGGGAGCAAUCCGACGGCUGUAGAGGAUCGUUCCUGCCCAGCUAACCCUGGUGCAGGGUGGCCCAGAGGUUGUCUGACAGGCU